rnacentral:rRNA from 1 species
GGGUUGUGAGGUUAAGCGACUAAGCGUACACGGUGGAUGCCUAGGCAGUCAGAGGCGAUGAAGGGCGUGCUAAUCUGCGAUAAGCGUCGGCAAGGUGAUAUGAACCGUUAUACCCGACGAUACCCGAAUGGGGAAACCCAGUGUGUUUCGACACACUAUCAUUAACUGAAUCCAUAGGUUAAUGAGGCGAACCGGGGGAACUGAAACAUCUCAGUACCCCGAGGAAAAGAAAUCAACCGAGAUUCCCCCAGUAGCGGCGAGCGAACGGGGAGCAGCCCAGAACCUGAAUCGGCUUGUGUGUCAGUGGAAGCGUCUGGAAAGUCGCACGAUACAGGGUGACAGUCCCGUACACGAAGAUGCACAGACCGUGAGUUCGAUGAGUAGGGCGGGACACGUGGUAUCCUGUCUGAACAUGGGGGGACCAUCCUCCAAGGCUAAAUACUCCUGACUGACCGAUAGUGAACCAGUACCGUGAGGGAAAGGCGAAAAGAACCCCGGCGAGGGGAGUGAAAUAGAACCUGAAACCGUGUACGUACAAGCAGUGGGAGCACUCUUUAUGGGUGUGACUGCGUACCUUUUGUAUAAUGGGUCAGCGACUUAUAUUCUGUAGCAAGGUUAACCGCAUAGGGGAGCCGCAGGGAAA